AUUGAACGCUGGCGGCAGGCCUAACACAUGCAAGUCGAGCGGAUGAAGGGAGCUUGCUCCUGGAUUCAGCGGCGGACGGGUGAGUAAUGCCUAGGAAUCUGCCUGGUAGUGGGGGAUAACGUCCGGAAACGGGCGCUAAUACCGCAUACGUCCUGAUGGAGAAAGUGGGGGAUCUUCUGACCUCACGCUAUCAGAUGAGCCUAGGUCGGAUUCGCUAGUUGGUGGGGUAAAGACCUACCAAGGCGACGAUCCGUAACUGGUCUGAGAGGAUGAUCAGUCACCAGGGAACUGAGACACGGUCCUGUCGCCUACGGGAUGCAGCAGUUGGGAAUAAUGGACAAUGGGCGGAAGCCUGAUCCAGUCAUGCCGCGUGUGUGAAGAAGGUCUUCGGAUUGUAAAGCACUUUAAGUGGGGAGGAAGGGCAGUAAGUUAAUGCCUGGCUGGUUUGACGUUACCGACAGAAUAAGCACCGGCUAACUUCGUG
rnacentral:rRNA from 1 species